rnacentral:rRNA from 1 species
GAUGAACGCUGGCGGCGUGCCUAAUACAUGCAAGUCGAGCGAACAGACGAGGAGCUUGCUCCUCUGACGUUAGCGGCGGACGGGUGAGUAACACGUGGAUAACCUACCUAUAAGACUGGGAUAACUUCGGGAAACCUGAGCUAAUACCGGAUAAUAUAUUGAACCGCAUGGUUCAAUAGUGAAAGACGGUUUUGCUGUCACUUAUAGAUGGAUCCGCGCCGCAUUAGCUAGUUGGUAAGGUAACGGCUUACCAAGGCAACGAUGCGUAGCCGACCUGAGAGGGUGAUCGGCCACACUGGAACUGAGACACGGUCCAGACUCCUACGGGAGGCAGCAGUAGGGAAUCUUCCGCAAUGGGCGAAAGCCUGACGGAGCAACGCCGCGUGAGUGAUGAAGGUCUUCGGAUCGUAAAACUCUGUUAUUAGGGAAGAACAAAUGUGUAAGUAACUAUGCACGUCUUGACGGCACCUAAUCAGAAGGCCACGGCUAACUACGUG